CCUACGGGAGGCAGCAGUCGAGAAUCAUUCACAAUGGGGGAAACCCUGAUGGUGCGACGCCGCGUGGGGGAAUGAAGGUCUUCGGAUUGUAAACCCCUGUCAUGUGGGAGCAAAUUAAAAAGAUCGUACCACAAGAGGAAGAGACGGCUAACUCUGUGCCAGCAGCCGCGGUAAUACAGAGGUCUCAAGCGUUGUUCGGAAUCACUGGGCGUAAAGCGUGCGUAGGCUGUUUCGUAAGUCGUGUGUGAAAGGCGCGGGCUCAACCCGCGGACGGCACAUGAUACUGCGAGACUAGAGUAAGGGAGGGGGAACCGGAAUUCUCGGUGUAGCAGUGAAAUACGUAGAUAUCGAGAGGAACACUCGUGGCGAAGGCGGGUUCCUGGACAUUAACUGACGCUGAGGCACGAAGGCCAGGGGAGCGAAAGGGAUUAGAUACCCGGGUAGUC
rnacentral:rRNA from 1 species